CCUACGGGCUGCUGCAGUCGAGAAUCAUUCACAAUGGGGGAAACCCUGAUGGUGCGACGCCGCGUGGGGGAAUGAAGGUCUUCGGAUUGUAAACCCCUGUCAUGUGGGAGCAAAUUAAAAAGAUAGUACCACAAGAGGAAGAGACGGCUAACUCUGUGCCAGCAGCCGCGGUAAUACAGAGGUCUCAAGCGUUGUUCGGAAUCACUGGGCGUAAAGCGUGCGUAGGCUGUUUCGUAAGUCGUGUGUGAAAGGCGCGGGCUCAACCCGCGGACGGCACAUGAUACUGCGAGACUAGAGUACUGGAGGGGGAACCGGAAUUCGCGGUGUAGCAGUGAAAUGCGUAGAUAUCGAGAGGAACACUCAUGGCGAAGGCGGGUUCCUGGACAUUAACUGACGCUGAGGCACGAAGGCCAGGGGAGCGAAAGGGAUUAGAUACCCUUGUAGUC
rnacentral:rRNA from 1 species